UAGCUCACAAAAUGGUUGCUGAAUAUGUUUUCACUCAUAUCACAGCCAUUUUGAUGAGCUUGG
rfam:Lutzomyia longipalpis Contig10134, whole genome shotgun sequence.